rnacentral:rRNA from 1 species
UGCGUAGGCGGAAGAUUAAGUCAGUGAUGAAGUCCUGCAGCUCAACUGUAGAACUGUCAUUGAUACUGAUUUCCUUGAAUUCAGUUGAGGUAGGCGGAAUGUGUAAUGUAGCGGUGAAAUGCUUAGAUAUUACACAGAACACCAAUUGCGAAGGCAGCUUACUAAGCUGAGAUUGACGCUGAGGCACGAAAGCGUGGGGAGCGAACAGGAUUAGAUACCCUGGUAGUCC